ACCCGGUGGGAGCGGGGAGCUGGGGCCUGGCCUUCCGCUCGCGUCCCCCUCCUGCCGGGACAGCCGCUGUCCGCCUCGCCCCGUCCGCCUUUCUUUCUCCCUUUUCUCUGUCCCUUUUUUUCCUUUCCUCCCUUCCAAGAUGGCCGAAGUGGAUUCCCCCUCUUAACGAUUUGGCUUCUCCCUCGACCACCUCCUCUUUGUGCAGCAGUCCUCUGCUAGAUCCUGCCCCCGAGGGUGGCGUGUUCCAGUCUCCCCAGUCCUGACCCCGGCAUCAUGCAUCGGACUACACGGAUUAAAAUCACAGAGCUGAACCCUCACCUCAUGUGUGCCCUCUGUGGGGGCUACUUCAUUGAUGCUACUACUAUCGUGGAGUGCUUGCAUUCUUUCUGCAAAACCUGCAUUGUGCGCUACCUGGAGACCAACAAAUACUGCCCCAUGUGUGAUGUGCAGGUCCAUAAAACCCGACCGCUGUUGAGCAUCAGGUGGGCCUGGCACUGCUCUGGGGCUG